rnacentral:lncRNA from 1 species
AAGCUUUCCUCCUCUUCUCUUCUCAUUUUCUUUACCACCAACUCUACUUGAGUAUAUAGCAAAAAAUACCACGUUACACGCUUUUGUCCGAAAAACUAUCAAUUUUAUAUUUUUUUCAAAAAACUACAACAUUUUUGGUUCGGUGUUUCAAAAAACUACUAUGUCGCACUGAUGACUUUGUUGGUUAACUUUAAACGUUAUUAUGGCAGCUCGGGUCUACCCGUCCGGUUGACCGUUAGGUUGAUCAUUGACAGCUUAUGGCGGGUGGGGCCCAAAUAUUUAUUGACAUGCAAUCGGGUCCCUGAAAAAAUAUAAGAAAAGCAAUCAGGUUCUGUAAAAAUAUUAAAAAAAGCAAUCAGGUCCCUAAAAGAUAAUAGAAAAGGCGAUCGGGUCCUCGCCAGCAAGUUCGUCGCCGGAGCCGGCCAGCACCAUGCCGGCGAGCUCGUCGCCAGGGCCGGCCAAGACCAC